UUCCACAAAUUCAGCAUCUAUGACUUGCUAUUGGUUCAGCCGACCCCGAAUAAACUAAUGGUUCAGCCUACCCUGAAAAGUAAAGGGGUUAAGGAGUCUCCAUAUCUUGAACCAAUUUCUUUGUAUCGACCGAGUUGCCGGUUAUAAGGGCUCCAAACUUUUUUAAUUCUUUUUUGAAGAGAAGGAAAGGAGACUGAAGAAAAAAAUAUUUGAGUACGGGCGCGAAGUAUUUAGGGUUACGUUUCGUCUUGAUUUUUAUUUCUGUGGUUUUCUUCUCAGAUUCAGGAGGUAUUCAAAUAUGGAAGCAUCAAUAUCAUCAUCACCUCGCUAGUUACUCUUGUUCCUUGUUACUUAUUGAUACCCAGGACUAGGGUUUGCAAUGCUUUUUUUUCUUUUGAUAUCCGAGGCAUCAACACCGCCUUCAACUUAGACACCACUAUAUCGCCAUUAGGGUAUUCCUGCAAAAACAAAAAUAUAUUACAAUUUCAUAGUGUUUCCUGGUGUGGAUUAUGAAGGGAACAUUGUCUGUUAAAUUCUGUGUAUCUUAAGUUUUCUAUGUUGUUUUGUGAUGAAUGAAUAGUGUCUCUUUUAUUUUUUCAAUUCGUUGUUCGGAUCUCAUGCUUAGUUUCCUUUUGGAUGAUAAAACCAGCAACAUAUGCUCCCAUUAUUCAAGUGCUAGACACCGGGGAUGAAGCAAGCAUGAAAUCCAUGAAUACAACUGAAGAUUUCAGAGGAGGCUAAUAGUCAGCAGGAUGUUGAGACCAAAGCGAAGAAGGUGAUUGACGAAAAUGAUGGCUUGAGAUUGGAUGUUAAGGAUAAAGUUGAUAGAAGCAAAGAGACUGUCAGUGACUCGGUCAAGCUACGUGGUUGGGGUCGCUGGGCUCGGGGAUCGGCCCCCAGACGGUCCAAAGUAGAUCCCCAGCCCGUACAGCAUUGGUUUAGGGCUAGGGAGGAGGCCAGCAGAAACUCCCAAGAAGAGCCACCACUCAAAGAAGAAGAAGUUAGAGGAAGGAGUCAGAGUAAACAAACCUAUUUCUUUCGAUUUGACAGAGUUCUUGGCAAAACAUGCUGAAAGAAUGGCAGAUGGAACAGCAGCCCAUCAGUUUGAUUAUAUGUCCCCUAAACCUUGGUUUCCUGAGACAAUUGUGAAUCCUUACGAAGCUUGCAUUAAAUGGUAGUGAGGGCAGCUAAAGAAAGUCUGAGAAUCUGGGGAGUUAGUCUUGUAAUGUAGGUUCUUAAAUUAUCUAUGUGCUAUCUGAAGGAGACUUUGUAAUGGUUUAGUACGUCUUUCCAGAAUGGUUUAAGAAAAAAUUAAAAGAAUGCAUUUUGAUUUUCUAGAAAACAGAAAGUGUUUGUUGUAAACCCAAAAUGACUGGACCUGGGUGAUAAUGUCCUU